rnacentral:lncRNA from 1 species
GUUAGAUACAAGUAUGUUACUACAGAUAUCCAUAAUACUUCAUGUUUAAGCUGCUACUAUAAUGAAAUUUGUUGUUAAUUCUGCUCCACGGCAUUUGAAACUGAGACAAAACAGCUAUGGGAAAGAGCAACUGAAGAGCACUAAUUAAGACUCAGAGUGCUUUCAAUAAACUUGUGCCGCAAUGAACAAAUUAACUGACAAGGGAAAAAGACAAUAUUGCCCUCGGGGGAAUGUGCUGACAUAGAGAUAACUCGAAGUAGUUCAGUAGUCUUUUGAUUCAGCGGAAACUAUGAAAUAUGAGUCUGAUUCGGUAGCAUUUACUCUUGAUGUAUCAGAAGGAAUAGCACAAAAAUGUCAUCACAUGAGAAGACAAAAAAAAAAAUGUCCAACUAAGGAGAAUGAAAGCAAAAAGCUUAAGUAAGCAAUUUUUCUUGCUCCUGCCUACCAUAGCUCUAGGCGUGAGAACGGAGGUGAUUGCAGCUGGUAAGCAAGGAGUGAGCCUUUCACAUUUCAGAGGUCAAAGUACACUGUGAAGCUUCAUGCAUAGUCAGUUUUACUGCUGGUUUUAACAUUCAAAGCCUUUUUCUCUUGAAGGUGUCAUCCCGAGAAAAAAAGAGCACCUGAGAUUCCCUGAAGCCACUGACCAAUGCAGAGGGAUGGGGCCAGUAGUUUCAGCUAUAGCAGCAGCAGAAGCAAGAGAGGGAACCUGAUUUUGACCGGUCAGAGAGGUGAAGCAUCACCACUGCACAAGCAAGAUCCUCCAGAUUUUUCAACAGAAGGUAGAAGAGAGAGAUGGUGGGAAGCUGCUUCGCACUGGGGAGACUGGGGAGGAACAGCUUUAUGUCAGAAGACUGAAAAGAUGUUCAGAAGAGUUUGAAUCAUGUCUAAAGUUGAGGUAAGUACGUGCCUUCUGUUUGUUUUAAAGUUAAAGCUCUCUCUCAUAACGUACCUUAAAAUAGUGUUUUAGUAUUGAAAUUGUUUGUCAUAAGAGUUGUUGAUGAAAACGUUGUUGUGACUUGGUCUUGAAGUGAAUGGAACAAAAGACUUCGAGGUUGAAAAGCAUUGCUAUGGUUACCUUAUUUAAAGGUGAUUGUUAAUAAAGGAGAG